rnacentral:rRNA from 1 species
UACGGGGGGGGCAAGCGUUGUUCGGAAUUACUGGGCGUAAAGGGCGCGUAGGCGGGUGGACAAGUCUCUCGUGAAAGCCCACGGCUCAACCAUGGAAUUGCGGGAGAUACUGUCUGUCUUGAGUCCGGGAGAGGAGGGUGGAAUUCCCAGUGUAGCGGUGAAAUGCGUAGAUAUUGGGAGGAACACCGGUGGCGAAGGCGGCUCUCUGGACCGGUACUGACGCUGAGGCGCGAAAGCUAGGGGAGCAAACGGG